GAUUGAUCAAUAGUCCCAAAUAUUCCACCUGCAGUACGGAACUGACUAUAUGUGAUAAAGCUAAUCAAAUAUGAAGUGUUUCAUCUUACUUCUUACGUUUGUCUUUUCCUCUCUGAUCUACCAAGUGACAACACUGUCAUACAAUUAUCACAGAUCAGGGGAUAAAUACCCUCAAGCUGCACAGGCUAAGAAACGAUCUUGGGAAUAUGGGGCUGAAGACUUAAAUGACAAUGAAAUCGAAGAACCGGGCAAAUUUGGUCUAAUAGACGGUAUAAUUAGCUGUAUUCUUACAAUUGUCAAUUCACUGUUUGGGUAUUUUCCAUCUGGCGCGUACCCACACAUCCCUCGCAACAGCACAGACGUCUACCCUGAUCAACACGAGGCAUAUUGGCAACAACACAACUGAGUCUAAUUAAUGGCAGCGAGGAAGCAAAUGUAGUAAAUUUAAUUAAUUUGUAUACCGUAUACAUUUAUGA